AUUGAACGCUGGCGGCAUGCCUUACACAUGCAAGUCGAACGGCAGCACGGGUGCUUGCACCUGGUGGCGAGUGGCGAACGGGUGAGUAAUACAUCGGAACAUGUCCUGUAGUGGGGGAAAGCCCGGCGAAAGCCGGAUUAAUACCGCAUACGAUCUACGGAUGAAAGCGGGGGACCUUCGGGCCUCGCGCUAUAGGGUUGGCCGAUGGCUGAUUAGCUAGUUGGUGGGGUAAAGGCCUACCAAGGCGACGAUCAGUAGCUGGUCUGAGAGGACGACCAGCCACACUGGGACUGAGACACGGCCCAGACUCCUACGGGAGGCAGCAGUGGGGAAUUUUGGACAAUGGGCGAAAGCCUGAUCCAGCAAUGCCGCGUGUGUGAAGAAGGCCUUCGGGUUGUAAAGCACUUUUGUCCGGAAAGAAAUCCUUGGCCCUAAUACGGUCGGGGGAUGACGGUACCGGAAGAAUAAGCACCGGCUAACUACGUG
rnacentral:rRNA from 1 species